GGAUACAAACUAAGGCGCUGUUGAUUAUGCGAUAUUAAUUGCGUGUUUCCGGUUGUUGUUGGAAAAGGGCCUUUUUGCAACCAACUUUCUCCUCAGCAAGUGAAACUUUGCAACUAUAAGCGAGAUUUUCGGUUCUAGAUUCAGUUUUUGUGGAAAAUCGGCGGUUUUUCGGUGCCCUUUUACAUGUUUAACGUUAUAGUGUAGUGAUGCAGUUCAGUUCACCAUCCAGAUCUCCUGUCUUUAAAGAAUAUAUGUAGUGGUGGUUAAUGGAAAACAUGAAGAAGAUAUCCAUUCAAGCUGCUUUGAUUGAAGAUUGAUCUCUCGAUGCAAGCGGUGCAUAAAUACGGACGGCGCCCGAGGAAUCGCAUCGGAACAGUGUAAGCGUUCAAGGAAACCACUUCUGAAGAUGCAAGCCACUCGUGCUUGCGAAACGUCAGGAAGAAAUUCCACCGAACGACGGCCUAAAAAACCAUUAGUUUCAAAUUGACUGUGUUUCGAAAACAAUGAUUACAGCAACAGUUCCAGUAUACCGGGCGGCUCAAAGUGAUUGGAACGAAAAAAAACAUCAAUAUUUUUUCCCGUACCUUCCCUGUUGUGUUACUAUUUACUUAAAAUUACCAAGAGCAAAAUCUUGUGAAAAAUAUCCUCAAUGUGACCCUAAAUAAGUAAAAACGUUCAUUAAA